rnacentral:rRNA from 1 species
UAAAAACCCCGACUUCGGAAGGGGUGUAUUUAUUAGAUACAAAACCAAUGCCCUUCGGGGCUCUUUGGUGAUUCAUGAUAACUAUACGAAUCGCACGGCCUUGCGCCGGCGAUGGUUCAUUCAAAUUUCUUCCCUAUCAACUUUCGAUGUUUGGGUAUUGGCCAAACAUGGUUGCAACGGGUAACGGAGGGUCAGGGCUCGACCCCGGAGAAGGAGCCUGAGAAACGGCUACUACAUCCAAGGAAGGCAGCAGGCGCGCAAAUUACCCAAUCCCGACUCGGGGAGGUAGUGACAAUAAAUACUGAUACAGGGCCCUUUCGGGCCUUGUAAUUGGAAUGAGUACAAUUUAAAUCCCUUAACGAGGAACAAUUGGAGGGCAAGUCUGGUGCCAGCAGCCGCGGUAAUUCCAGCUCCAAUAGCGGAUAUUAAAGUUGAUGUGGUUAAAAGGAACAAUUGGAGGGCAAGUCUGGUGCCUGGCCCGGCGGCCACUCCAGCUGCAAUAGCGUAUGUCAAAGUUUUGUGGUUAAAAAGCUCGUAGUUGAACCUUGGGCCUGGAUGGCCAGACAGCAUCACCGC